rnacentral:rRNA from 1 species
GAGUNGCGCAGGCUUACACAUGCAAGUCGAGCGGGGGAAGGUAGCUUGCUACCGGACCUAGCGGCGGACGGGUGAGUAAUGCUUAGGAAUCUGCCUAUUAGUGGGGGACAACAUCUCGAAAGGGAUGCUAAUACCGCAUACGUCCUACGGGAGAAAGCAGGGGAUCUUCGGACCUUGCGCUAAUAGAUGAGCCUAAGUCGGAUUAGCUAGUUGGUGGGGUAAAGGCCUACCAAGGCGACGAUCUGUAGCGGGUCUGAGAGGAUGAUCCGCCACACUGGGACUGAGACACGGCCCAGACUCCUACGGGAGGCAGCAGUGGGGAAUAUUGGACAAUGGGCGCAAGCCUGAUCCAGCCAUGCCGCGUGUGUGAAGAAGGCCUUAUGGUUGUAAAGCACUUUAAGCGAGGAGGAGGCUACUUUAGAUAAUACCUAGAGAUAGUGGACGUUACUCGCAGAAUAAGCACCGGCUAACUCUGUGCCAGCAGCCGCGGUAAUACAGAGGGUGCAAGCGUUAAUCGGAUUUACUGGGCGUAAAGCGCGCGUAGGCGGCUAAUUAAGUCAAAUGUGAAAUCCCCGAGCUUAACUUGGGAAUUGCAUUCGAUACUGGUUAGCUAGAGUGUGGGAGAGGAUGGUAGAAUUCCAGGUGUAGCGGUGAAAUGCGUAGAGAUCUGGAGGAAUACCGAUGGCGAAGGCAGCCAUCUGGCCUAACACUGACGCUGAGGUGCGAAAGCAUGGGGAGCAAACAGGAUUAGAUACCCUGGUAGUCCAUGCCGUAAACGAUGUCUACUAGCCGUUGGGGCCUUUGAGGCUUUAGUGGCGCAGCUAACGCGAUAAGUAGACCGCCUGGGGAGUACGGUCGCAAGACUAAAACUCAAAUGAAUUGACGGGGGCCCGCACAAGCGGUGGAGCAUGUGGUUUAAUUCGAUGCAACGCGAAGACCUUACCUGGCCUUGACAUACUAGAAACUUUCCAGAGAUGGAUUGUGCCUUCGGGAAUCUAGAUACAGUGCUGCAUGGCUGUCGUCAGCUCGUGUCGUGAGAUGUUGGGUUAGUCCCGCAACGAGCGCAACCCUUUUCCUUAUUUGCCAGGGGAGUAAUGUCGGGAACCU